AAUCAUUAUUAGGUAAAUGAAAAAAUGGGUGUGAGCAUGGUCGGUGAAUCAUCGUGUAUGUAAUAGUAUAAUAUGUAUAGCAUCAUCCCCUCCUACCGACCUCUCAGCGACAGUAAGUUGUCGUUACGCGUCGUCCGUCCGUCCGUAGGUCCGCGGCCGCAGUGCGCGAUGGGUAACUGUAAAUUAUUUGUUGGAGGAAAAAGUCGGAGAACGAGCGAGCAGCGCUUAUAAAUUACCACGCUCCGUCGUAUAGGUACCUAUACUGCAGUUGUAGCUGUGAGUACCUCCGUAGUAUACUCAGAGUCUUCAGCCAUCGGCUCAAGAGCAUC